CGGUGGAGCAAGUCAGUGGUGAAAGCCCGGGGCUUAACUCCGGGAUUGCCAUUGAAACUGUUUCACUUGAGUGGAGUCGAGGACGGCGUAAUGAGUUGUGUAGCGGUGAAAUGCAUAGAUAUAACUCAGAACACCGAUUGCGAAGGCAGCUGUCUAGGCUACAACUGACGCUGAGGCACGAAAGCGUGGGGAGCGAGCAGGAUUAGAUACCCUGGUAGUCCACGCAGUAAACGAUGAUCACUCGUUGCUGGCUACGUAGUAGUCAGUGACUAAGGGAAACCAUUAAGUGAUCCACCUGGGGAGUACGUCGGCAACGAUGAAACUCAAAGGAAUUGACGGGGGCCCGCACAAGCGGAGGAACAUGUGGUUUAAUUCGAUGAUACGCGAGGAACCUUACCUGGGCUUAAAUGCAGGCUGCAUUUCCGCGAAAGCGGAAUUUCCUACGGGACCGCUUGCAAGGUGCUGCAUGGUUGUCGUCAGCUCGUGCCGUGAGGUGUCGGGUUAAGUCCCAUAACGAGCGCAACCCUUAUCGCUAGUUGCCAGCAUGUAAUGGUGGGGACUCUAGCGAGACUGCCGGUGUAAACCGGAGGAAGGUGGGGAUGACGUCAAAUCAGCACGGCCCUUACGUCCAGGGCUACACACGUGUUACAAUGGCCGGUACAAAGAGCAGCCACCUGGCGACAGGGUGCUAAUCUUUAAAGCCGGUCUCAGUUCGGAUCGAAGUCUGCAAUUCGACUUCGUGAAGGUGGAUUCGCUAGUAAUCGCGCAUCAGCCAUGGCGCGGUGAAUAAGUUCCCGGGCCUUGUACACACCGCCCGUCAAGC
rnacentral:rRNA from 1 species